UCUGGAACUCUGGACUUUUCCCCACCCUGGCACCUUUCCUGAGAACUCGCUCAGAACGGUCUUCCUCGUUGCUAUUCUUUCCUCCUCCUCCCACUUCCUGCCUCGGUCGGUCGCGCGGGCCGCACCUGCAGGAGGCAUUUCCAUUGGUGACAUCUUGGCGGGCCCGUCGGUGGCACUUCCUCCUUUACACCCCGUGACCCACGUCCGGCUUGCCGCCCUCCCAGUCACGCGGCCUCUGCCUCUGGGACUCAGCCCCGCGCGCCGGCCUUCCGGACUCCGGACCCGUCGUGGUUAAUAACAAAAGGACAUGCACCUGGACUUUCCCCGGAGCCUUCUGCGUGUUUAAGCGUCGGGUGGAGUUGGGGGGUCCUUUGGCUGUAAACCGCGCUUGCUUGAUGAAAAUAGGAAUCAGUCUUGCUCCUCUCGGCGAUCUCACUGGGACACAAACGUAAAGGAGGGUGAAGCCAGGAUCCCACCGAGUUCCCAUCCCUAACCGGGAAGGUGGAAGGUGCGGUUUAAACCGCCCUGCGUACUCCGUAGAUAAACCUAAUAAGUCACGGUGCUGGGAGGCGCACCUUCUUUAUCUCGAUUGGAUCUACCUGAAUCCUGUCUAACCAGUAGGGUAGUGAAGAGCACGUUCUGGAGAGCCUCGCAGGAGUCCAGGGAGCCUCUGAGAAAUACAGAAUCUCGGCCCCUGCCCACAUCUAUUGUUUUAGAAUCUGCAUUUUAACAAGAUCCCGUAGGUGGUAGUGUGCACACUUAGGUCACAGUCCAGUUACCUGCUGGAGUUGUGCAGAAUACUUGGCUGCACCCCGUACAGCACAAUUAAAGCAGAAUUUCCAGGUGUGGGACCCAAGAACAAUAUAUUUUAACACUCCCCCAGCGAUUGCAAGGUGCUGCGGGGGUGAGACCAGUGCUUGCCAUCAGCGCUUCAGC